rnacentral:rRNA from 1 species
GAUGAACGCUGACAGAAUGCUCAACACAUGCAAGUCUACUUGAUUCUACUUCGGUAGUUGAUGGUGGCGGACGGGUGAGUAACGCGUAAAGAAUCUGCCCUUUAGUUUGGGAUAACCUUUGGAAACGAAGGCUAAUACCGGAUAUUAUGGAGACGUCGCAUGACGGCUCCAUGAAAGCUAUAUGCGCUAGAGGAGGACUUUGCGUCCCAUUAGUUAGUUGGUGAGGUAAUGGCUCACCAAGACCGCGAUGGGUAGCCGGCCUGAGAGGGUGAUCGGCCACAAGGGAACUGAGACACGGUCCUUACUCCUACGGGAGGCAGCAGUGGGGAAUAUUGGACAAUGGGCCACAAGCCUGAUCCAGCAAUUCUGUGUGCACGAUGAAGGUCUUCGGAUUGUAAAGUGCUUUCAGUAGGGAAGAAAAGAAUGACGGUACCUACAGAAGAAGCGACGGCUAAAUAUGUGCCAGCCGCCGCUGUAACAC